rnacentral:rRNA from 1 species
UGAACGCUGGCGGCAGGCCUAACACAUGCAAGUCGAACGGUAACAGGAUAGCUUGCUAUCGCUGACGAGUGGCGGACGGGUGAGUAAUACUUAGGGAUCUGCCCUUUGGAGGGGGAUAACCAUUGGAAACGAUGGCUAAUACCGCAUAAUGUCUACGGACCAAAGGGGGCUUCGGCUUCCACCAGAGGAUGAACCUAAGCGAGAUUAGCUUGUUGGUGAGGUAACGGCUCACCAAGGCGACGAUCUCUAGCUGUUCUGAGAGGAAGAUCAGCCACACUGGAACUGAGACACGGUCCAGACUCCUACGGGAGGCAGCAGUGGGGAAUAUUGCACAAUGGGGGAAACCCUGAUGCAGCCAUGCCGCGUGUGUGAAGAAGGCCUUAGGGUUGUAAAGCACUUUCAGUUGUGAGGAAAGGUUUGUGGUUAAUACCCAUAAGCUGUGACGUUAGCAACAGAAGAAGCACCGGCUAACUCC